ACACUCCUACGGGAGGCAGCAGUGGGGAAUUUUGGACAAUGGGCGAAAGCCUGAUCCAGCAAUGCCGCGUGCAGGAUGAAGGCCUUCGGGUUGUAAACUGCUUUUGUACGGAACGAAAAAGCUCCUUCUAAUACAGGGGGCCCAUGACGGUACCGUAAGAAUAAGCACCGGCUAACUACGUGCCAGCAGCCGCGGUAAUACGUAGGGUGCGAGCGUUAAUCGGAAUUACUGGGCGUAAAGCGUGCGCAGGCGGUUAUGUAAGACAGAUGUGAAAUCCCCGGGCUCAACCUGGGAACUGCAUUUGUGACUGCAUGGCUAGAGUACGGUAGAGGGGGAUGGAAUUCCGCGUGUAGCAGUGAAAUGCGUAGAUAUGCGGAGGAACACCGAUGGCGAAGGCAAUCCCCUGGACCUGUACUGACGCUCAUGCACGAAAGCGUGGGGAGCAAACAGGAUUAGAUACCCUAGUAGUCCCAUGA
rnacentral:rRNA from 1 species